GGUUAAGCGACUAAGCGUACACGGUGGAUGCCCUGGCAGUCAGAGGCGAUGAAGGACGUGCUAAUCUGCGAUAAGCGUCGGUAAGGUGAUAUGAACCGUUAUAACCGGCGAUUUCCGAAUGGGGAAACCCAGUGUGAUUCGUCACACUAUCAUUAACUGAAUCCAUAGGUUAAUGAGGCGAACCGGGGGAACUGAAACAUCUAAGUACCCCGAGGAAAAGAAAUCAACCGAGAUUCCCCCAGUAGCGGCGAGCGAACGGGGAGCAGCCCAGAGCCUGAAUCAGUGUGUGUGUUAGUGGAAGCGUCUGGAAAGGCGCGCGAUACAGGGUGACAGCCCCGUACACAAAAAUGCACAUGCUGUGAGCUCGAUGAGUAGGGCGGGACACGUGGUAUCCUGUCUGAAUAUGGGGGGACCAUCCUCCAAGGCUAAAUACUCCUGACUGACCGAUAGUGAACCAGUACCGUGAGGGAAAGGCGAAAAGAACCCCGGCGAGGGGAGUGAAAAAGAACCUGAAACCGUGUACGUACAAGCAGUGGGAGCACAGAGCAAUCUGUGUGACUGCGUACCUUUUGUAUAAUGGGUCAGCGACUUAUAUUCUGUAGCAAGGUUAACCGAAUAGGGGAGCCGAAGGGAAACCGAGUCUUAACUGGGCGUUAAGUUGCAGGGUAUAGACCCGAAACCCGGUGAUCUAGCCAUGGGCAGGUUGAAGGUUGGGUAACACUAACUGGAGGACCGAACCGACUAAUGUUGAAAAAUUAGCGGAUGACUUGUGGCUGGGGGUGAAAGGCCAAUCAAACCGGGAGAUAGCUGGUUCUCCCCGAAAGCUAUUUAGGUAGCGCCUCGUGAAUUCAUCUCCGGGGGUAGAGCACUGUUUCGGCAAGGGGGUCAUCCCGACUUACCAACCCGAUGCAAACUGCGAAUACCGGAGAAUGUUAUCACGGGAGACACACGGCGGGUGCUAACGUCCGUCGUGAAGAGGGAAACAACCCAGACCGCCAGCUAAGGUCCCAAAGUCAUGGUUAAGUGGGAAACGAUGUGGGAAGGCCCAGACAGCCAGGAUGUUGGCUUAGAAGCAGCCAUCAUUUAAAGAAAGCGUAAUAGCUCACUGGUCGAGUCGGCCUGCGCGGAAGAUGUAACGGGGCUAAACCAUGCACCGAAGCUGCGGCAGCGACGCUUAUGCGUUGUUGGGUAGGGGAGCGUUCUGUAAGCCUGUGAAGGUGUGCUGUGAGGCAUGCUGGAGGUAUCAGAAGUGCGAAUGCUGACAUAAGUAACGAUAAAGCGGGUGAAAAGCCCGCUCGCCGGAAGACCAAGGGUUCCUGUCCAACGUUAAUCGGGGCAGGGUGAGUCGACCCCUAAGGCGAGGCCGAAAGGCGUAGUCGAUGGGAAACAGGUUAAUAUUCCUGUACUUGGUGUUACUGCGAAGGGGGGACGGAGAAGGCUAUGUUGGCCGGGCGACGGUUGUCCCGGUUUAAGCGUGUAGGCUGGUUUUCCAGGCAAAUCCGGAAAAUCAAGGCUGAGGCGUGAUGACGAGGCACUACGGUGCUGAAGCAACAAAUGCCCUGCUUCCAGGAAAAGCCUCUAAGCAUCAGGUAACAUCAAAUCGUACCCCAAACCGACACAGGUGGUCAGGUAGAGAAUACCAAGGCGCUUGAGAGAACUCGGGUGAAGGAACUAGGCAAAAUGGUGCCGUAACUUCGGGAGAAGGCACGCUGAUAUGUAGGUGAGGUCCCUCGCGGAUGGAGCUGAAAUCAGUCGAAGAUACCAGCUGGCUGCAACUGUUUAUUAAAAACACAGCACUGUGCAAACACGAAAGUGGACGUAUACGGUGUGACGCCUGCCCGGUGCCGGAAGGUUAAUUGAUGGGGUUAGCGGUAACGCGAAGCUCUUGAUCGAAGCCCCGGUAAACGGCGGCCGUAACUAUAACGGUCCUAAGGUAGCGAAAUUCCUUGUCGGGUAAGUUCCGACCUGCACGAAUGGCGUAAUGAUGGCCAGGCUGUCUCCACCCGAGACUCAGUGAAAUUGAACUCGCUGUGAAGAUGCAGUGUACCCGCGGCAAGACGGAAAGACCCCGUGAACCUUUACUAUAGCUUGACACUGAACAUUGAGCCUUGAUGUGUAGGAUAGGUGGGAGGCUUUGAAGUGUGGACGCCAGUCUGCAUGGAGCCGGCCUUGAAAUACCACCCUUUAAUGUUUGAUGUUCUAACGUUGGCCCCUGAUCGGGGUUGCGGACAGUGUCUGGUGGGUAGUUUGACUGGGGCGGUCUCCUCCUAAAGAGUAACGGAGGAGCACGAAGGUUGGCUAAUCCUGGUCGGACAUCAGGAGGUUAGUGCAAUGGCAUAAGCCAGCUUGACUGCGAGCGUGACGGCGCGAGCAGGUGCGAAAGCAGGUCAUAGUGAUCCGGUGGUUCUGAAUGGAAGGGCCAUCGCUCAACGGAUAAAAGGUACUCCGGGGAUAACAGGCUGAUACCGCCCAAGAGUUCAUAUCGACGGCGGUGUUUGGCACCUCGAUGUCGGCUCAUCACAUCCUGGGGCUGAAGUAGGUCCCAAGGGUAUGGCUGUUCGCCAUUUAAAGUGGUACGCGAGCUGGGUUUAGAACGUCGUGAGACAGUUCGGUCCCUAUCUGCCGUGGGCGCUGGAGAACUGAGGGGGGCUGCUCCUAGUACGAGAGGACCGGAGUGGACGCAUCACUGGUGUUCGGGUUGUCAUGCCAAUGGCACUGCCCGGUAGCUAAAUGCGGAAGAGAUAAGUGCUGAAAGCAUCUAAGCACGAAACUUGCCCCGAGAUGAGUUCUCCCUGACUCCUUGAGAGUCCUGAAGGAACGUUGAAGACGACGACGUUGAUAGGCCGGGUGUGUAAGCGCAGCGAUGCGUUGAGCUAACCGGUACUAAUGAACCGUGAGGCUUAACCUU
rnacentral:rRNA from 1 species